rnacentral:rRNA from 1 species
CGUCUUGAAACACGGACCAAGGAGUUUAGCGUGUACGCGAGUCAAUGAGUAUACACUAAACUUAAAGGCGAAACAAAAGUGAAGGCUUUCCCUUGAAAGGAAGCUGAGGGAAGAUGUGAUGACUCGCUCCUUAAAAAAGCAGUCACUCCGCAUUCCCGGGGCGUUCUUCUCUCAUUGCGAGAGUGGGCGCACCCAGAGCGUACACGCUGAUACCCGAAAGAUGGUGAACUAUGCCUGGCCAGGAUGAAGCCAGGGGAAACCCUGGUGGAGGUCCGAAGCGAUUCUGACGUGCAAAUCGAUCGUCGGAGCUGGGUUUAGGGGCGAAAGACCAAUCGAACCAUCUAGUAGCUGGUUCCCUCUGAAGUUUCCCUCAGGAUAAGCUA